UUUUUUUUUUUUUUUCUUUUCUCAUCAAACACAUACGCAGGCACUUGCCUCACUUUGGUUCUGGGGUUGAAGCCAACAAUGAUGAACAGAAGACACCUUCAUUUAUUCUACAUUCAUUUCUCGUGUUCCUCCCACUGCUAUGUUUCGCCUUUCUGUUUUCAAAACCUACACUUCAUACUUAAUACCUAUAUAUUUAGACAAAGGCACUCAUAGAGACACAGUACGGCUAACACAUGCAUCAGUGAACAACUUGAACAUUUUCUGAUAUUUGUGGUAGCAUAAACUCCUUUCUCUGGAAUCUUAAUAGGUAGAAAACGUAUGACCAUUUCCCUCCUAAGGUACCACCUCAUGACACUAAUUGAUCAUAAUGUUCCCCCCAAAGUGCUAUAAAAUUCUGAAGUAGCUUCUGUUUACCCAUUCACCUAGUGAAGGACAUUUGGGUUGUUUCAAGUUUUUGGUGAUUAUGACUAGAGUGGCUAUAAACAUGCAUGCACACAUUUUUAGGUGAAAAUAAGUUUUGCUUUCUCUAGGGUAAAUAUCCAGGAAUGGGACUGUUGGGUCAUAUGGUUUGUGCAUGUUUAACUUUUUAAAGAACUGGCAAUCCUUUUUUGCAUUCUCACCUGCAAUGCCUGGUGUUCCAGUUGCUCUGCAUCCUUGUUAGCACUUGGCAUUUUCAGUGUUUUUUCUUUUAGACAUUAUAAUAAGUGGUAACUCACAUGGUUUUAAUAGGCAUUUCCUUAAUAAUUGGCAUUAUUGGGCAAUUUUUUAUGUACUCACUUGCCAUCCAGAUAUCCUCUUUGGUAACAUGCCUGUUCGAUUAUUUUACCCAAUGGUUUUUUCCAUUGGGUUAUUUGUUUUCUGCUGUGAUUUAAGAGUUCAACAUUUUCUGGAUAUGUCUUUUGGUGAAGCAGUUCUUGAAUCAUCAAAAAUGUAAACAGUUAGGAUAUUUUAGGGUAAGGCUAUUUUAUUCUAUUCACUUUUUGGAGAUUUGCAAAAGCCAUACAUAGCCAAGUCUAUAAACUAAACUUUUCCAUUAAUCAAAAUUGGGGGUAUUUUGAAUGAUGAGGUAUUCCCUAAGGAGGCCCAGAGAGAAAUCUGGUGAGAUGUCCAGAUUGGACUUGAGAAAGGGCCAUUUACUUUGGUGGAUUCAGCAAAGUCCAGGGUUUAGUCUUAAGCUUGGAAGAUUCAGAAACGUGAUUUGGCUGGUGGCUUAAAAGCAGAUCCCACUUGACAAUGCUUUUCUUGUGCUAGCAAAGAUCUAAAGAGACCACUGUGCAAGGCCAGGGUGGCAGCUAAAGCACCAAGGUAGCCUUUUUCUCCUACAGAUUUAUAUGAUAGUUGUAAGCUUCCUUGGAGAGCUUAGAGGUGGUAUAAGGAAAAUUAGCCAUAUCUAUGGCUGUGAUGAACUUUCUCAGGGCCAUGAUGAAAAAAAUAAGCAUAGUUUAAUUAAUUUUCUUAAUUGAUUCAAUUUAAAGAACUAUCUUUUAUUCUGAGGCUAUGUUUUCCACAACUUUGACAAAUUCUAUAUGAGUUUAUUUCCUUAACAUACAGUGAAGGCUUGCUGACUGAGCAGACAUUCAGAAGGUGAGGAGCUGUUCUUUGUUGUAAUGUUACCUUCAACUUCUGAAUUCUAAGACCUUGGGAGGUACCUCCAUGACCCUUCCCAAUCUGAUCCCAGCUUCCAAAUUCAUUUCAAUACACUUUUCCGUGUAUUAUUCUCCACAUAAACCAAUCUGUUUGCAACUCUCACUAUGCUAUACCUUUUUUGUCUCUAGAUACUUGCUGUUAGAGUCAUAGCCCACCUCUCCUCCCUCCCCCUGUCUUCCUUGAUGUCCUCUGAGCCAGCAGUGAACAUUCACGUCUUUGGAUUCCUAUAGCCCCUAUUUUCAUUAUCAUCCCUAAGGCAUUUAUCCUACAUUAUCCUUCACUGUGGGUGACUUGAGUAUGCUUUCGUGGGUGAUUAGAUAGCACCCCCAUCAGAUGGUAAACUCCUGAAGGUGGUGGAAUAAAGGUCCAUCUUUCAGAAAUAUCAGCAUGACUCAGAGCAAAUCACACAGUACUUUUCACAGUAGGUGCUCAACAAAGGUCUGUCGAAUAAAUGAAGAAACAAAUAUAUGAGAAAUGGUAUAUUUAAGUUCUUGCAAUGGAAUUGCUCUUUUCACCCACAGUUACCUAUGUGUUUUGGUACUUGAGUGCCCCCUUAUACACACCUUCUAUAUAAAUAUACACAUUGAGGGCUCCCUUGGGCUAUCUCUGCAGACGUGUGAGUCUGUGAGUGUGGCCUGCACACCAGCAUGCCCAGGCAGAAGAAAAACAAGCAGGCACUCCCAACUGGGGAAGUCAUUUGCAGCUCCUCCCAUUAUUACUGGUGGAAUCUCCUUAUUUAAAACAAACAGAGAGCUGGAAUCAGCAAUUCAAGUGGUGGCCAUUAGCAGGUCCAGUUAUCAAAACACAGACUUAGUCUUUAAACAUAUAAAACAGCAAACUCUGAAAGUCCACUCUGACCUUUAGCAUCUUUGCAGUCAGGGCCUCCUCUAGCAUCUCUCAUUAGGGCCUUUAGGGGUCAUGUGUUCUUACCACUUGGAGGCUGUUUUUAGGUUUUACUUGGCUGAGAGCACUUUCAUUAAUCUCAAAAAGACUUUUCUCCAUUUUUUUCUUCCUAUCCCACAGGGCAAGGACUCCCCACUAAAGGUAACCAAGCUAUCAUUUUCCACUCAGUUUGUGGCUGGUUAAGGAAGUUUCUGAGGGUCACAGAGAAGGCAGCCCUGAGGUUCAGAUCACAGGGACGAGAGGGCUAGGGUAGAGCUGGCAAAAAUGACCAAGGGAGGAAACAGGAACAUGAUCCAGGCCACGCUGGGGAGAUGUAACUCAUUUCCUGCUUCUGAGGGUUCUGUAACCUAGGCUGCUGAAGUGUGGGCCAAGCCAAGGGAGGGAAGUGUAGUUAAGUUCCUUUAAUCUGUGAUGCUUGUGAAUCAUCUUGGUGGUCAUCAUCUCGGACAUCAGCCUCACUGUACUGCAGACAGAAAAGGGAUGGAAAAGGAGAGCAUUUUUGGCAAUCACAGGCCACAGCCUGGCAGUGUUUUUGUUUGGGUUUUUUAAAUAAAUAAGAUCCAUCAGUUUAUUUGUUGUCUUUUACCUCUUUCUCUUAAAAAGUGGAGCAUCCUAAAAUACUGGCUGCAUACAUAUUCUGAUGUUUUGAUUUUUUAGUAUCUAUUUAUAGGUUUGGAUAAAAGGAGAUACUUUAAAACUGUUCUGCACUUUGCCAGGCAUAUAGAAAUGGUCAAUAAAAAGCAGCUAUAAUGAUCAGUUCCUGAGUUCUUAUAACCUAGAUUUUAUUAUAUUAAGUAGAAAUGACUACUGAAUUCAUUUCUUAAAAAUAGCAUUACAGACUUUUGAAGUAUGAUCUCAACUAUAUAAUGAAAAAGAAAUAGAAAAAAAAAAGACCUGCAGGAACUAUACUAAGAGACUUAACAGUGAUAGACUCUGGGUGAUAGAGCCAUGGAUAAUUUUUCCUGCUCUUUUGCACUACUUUCCAGACUUUCCAUAAUGAACAUUUAUUACUCCAAUUGUGUAGGAAGACGCCUAUUAGAAUUUUUUUUUAAUGAGAUUACAGUGUUCAGUUAGUAAGAUUGUUUUCAACCUAAUUCAUCUUUCAGAGGCUUUGCCAUUUUCCACCUGUAUCAUCUUGGGUAAAUUACUUAACCCUUGAGAUCUUAGUGUCCUCUCUAGUAAAAUGGGGAUAAUAAGUAUAUACUUCCUUCGCAGUAAAAGAGAAAACAGGGAAAUCACCUAGCACAGAGCCUGAUGGAUGCAGGUACUCGACAGUAAGUAAUCUAAAACUCUGAGUAACAGCUCCCCCUUCUUACAGUAUAAGCGUCUUUAGGAGCCAAUUUGGACCAGUAUUGGAAACAGUGACUUCAUUUAAUCAUCGCCACUGGAUGAUUUCUUGGUUUUUAACUAUGCCUAAGAACUGCCUGACCCAAGUUUCAGAAGAUUAAUGAAGUCCUAAGGGCAAUUAUUUGAGUGUAAAUAAUGGAAUGAUGUGGUAAAACACUGGCACAUGAGCUUUGGAUUUGGAAAGACCAGAGUUUAAAUAUUCGUAAUUACUAACUGUGUGAUUUUGGGCAAAGGACUUCAGUUUUUGAAAUCUUCAUUUCCUCACAUUUGGUAAUUUUAACUAACAUCCAUCGAGCCAUGCCAAGCCAUGCCAAGCCCAUACUGGGCUCAGUAUUUACAAACAUCAUCUCAUCUAAUUAACACAGCAUCCUGGUGAUGGGUAAUUAUUAUUUCCAAUUUACAGAUGAGCAAGCAGUAUGGUAAGUAGCCUGAGGACACACAGCUGGUUAUUGGUAGCAUUUGGAUUCAUAAAAUGGGGAUCCAAAUCUGAGCUGAUGGGCAUAUCACAAAUAUUAAAUGGAAGAGUACUUGUCAGGUCCCAUGCAUAGCAGGCUUUCAACAAAUAUCUAAUAAGUAUCUAAGAUUAGAGUAGGCACCCUCACCUUAGAAGAUAUUUAGGAGUGCCACACAUGUAGGAUCCCCAAGGAUGUACAUGGGGAACGCAUACCCACCGUAUCACACUGCUGGCUUCUCCAUGUGCAUUACUUUUUCUUUUUUUUUUUUUUUUUUUUUUUUUUUNGUCUUUUUAGGGCUGCACCCAAGGCAUAUGGAGGUGCAGCCCUAAAAAGCAAAAAAAAAAAAUUUCAUAUUUUCUACUUGUGAGUUCUUUCAGACAUUACAUUGAUAUUUACUUAUUCCUCUAAUCCUAACACUAACAAUAAUUAUUACCACUUAUUGAGGACUUGUCAGUUACCAGGCCCUGGGCUAAGGGAUUAGAAUGCUUUCUGUCCAUGUGUCCAACAAUAAACUUAUGAGUUUAUUAGUCCUGGUUUUUUUUUUUUUUUGGAUGAGGAAACUGAGACACAGAUGAGUUAAGAUAAGUGCCCAACUUCACAUGGGCAGUAAAUAUGAAAGCAGGAUGCAAAUCCAACUCUGGCUGAUUUUAAAAUCUCUGCAUUUCAUCAUUUCAUUACUCUGGGUCCCCACCUCCCUUAUCUUCAUUGUGCGCGCGUGUGUGUGUGUGUGUGUUGGUGGGUAUGUGUAUUUAUCUCUAUGGUUGGAGAAUGGCAUGAAAGGUCAUCCUGGGAUCAGUCUAUUCCAGGGAACUAGAAGGAAUCAUCCUUUUCCUAUUUUCCUCUGAGGCUGAGGAGCCUGAAUUCACUAUAGUGAGGCUGAACUUGCCCAGUGUCCUAGCAUCUUAGGGUUUGGAAAAACACUGUCAAAUCCACUACACACAUCUGUCAUAGUCACUGGUACUAUUUGCCAAAUAUUCCGUUUUCCUCAGUUCUGGCACAAAGUAAGAUUAAACUUCUUGGCUUCUUUAUGGUUGAAGGGGGCUUUGUGAAUUCUGUGUGGAAGUGAUAUGUGACACUUCUAGGCUGGGAACCUAUUUUUGAGACUUUCCAGAGCCUUCUCAUUCCAGUUAUCAUCAUCACCAGCAGCACUCAAGAUGGCAGCAGCUCCACCAGCUUGGGUCUCUAAGUGACUACAAAAAACAAAGAUCCCUGCUGACUUGUGAUUAAUAUGUGGCUUAAGUGAAAACUAAACCUUGGUUGUUUUAAGCCAUUAAGAUUUUAGAGUUGUUUGUUAUUAUAGCAUAACUUAGUCUAGCCUGACUGAUACAACCAUGUAGCAAAGUAUGGGUGACAUAAAGCAGUGCCUGGAUGUCAGUGUGGUAGCUGCCAGCAGACACUGUGAUUCUCAUCAGUGUAGGGAGAGAGGGUGGGAGAGGGAGAGGACAGAAAGUGAGGGGGAGGAAGAGAAAGAAAGGUUGGUGUGGUGGGUGUGGGGAGAGAGAGAGAGAGAGAGAGAGAGAGAGAGAGAGAGAGAGAGAGAGAGAAGGCUUGUAGUAUGGCACAACUUUUAGGAAGCUAUGCCUUUUACUUUGAAGCAACAUCAAGGAACCAUGAGGGCUGAGACUUCCCACUCAGUAUUUCUAGUGCUCACUAAGGUGACUGACACUAAAUAUACUAAAUAUUUGUCAAAUUCAUAACACCCUGGAUCAUCAUUUUAUGAACAAUAAAUCUGUCGGAAUAUCUGCUCUUGGAACAUUUCACUUGGUUUUAGAUUUACUUUAGCUAAAAUGAAUACAACUCUUCUAGUUAAUUUUACAUGAGGCUCAUUUACUUCCUCACCUUUUCUCAUUCACUAGUUCAAAGUAUUUAGUCCUGAGGUCUCAGGAUACCAGGGUAGAUGCAUUUUUUAAAAUGUACAAAUCCUUAUGCUUUAAAGAAGGGUGUUGGGGUUCCUGUUAUGGCUCAGCCAUUAGCAAACCUGACUAGGAUCCAUGAGGAUGUGGGUUCAAUCCCUGGCUCACUCAGUUGGUUGAGGAUCUGGGUUGCCAUGAGCUGUGGUGUAGGUUGCAGAUGCAGCUCAGAUCCUGAGUUGCUGUGGCUAUGGUGUUGGCCAGUGACUGCGGCUCCAACUGGACCCCUAGUCUGGGAGCCUCCAUAUGCUGCAGGUGAAGCUCUAACAAGACAAAAAAUAAAAAUAAAAAAUCAAAUAAAAAAGGUGUCAAAGCCCAUUCUCAGUCAAAUAAGGGUUUCUACUCUUUAACCUCACCUUUUAAGUAAAUAUAUUGGCCUCAACUUGAGCUUAAUCUGAAAGUUCUUGUUCCUUUCAGGGAGGGGGUGCCUCUCUGCGUGUUAGGGUGGAGAUGACUCAUGCUGUAAAGCAGCGCCACUGCCUCAGGUGGGGAGAAGAGCCAGACUCCAUAGGCCAGAAGGAAAGAAUGGGAGGGCAGGGAGAAGGAGACCCAGGCUCCCAGCGCAGAGAAAUAGCCUUGUGCUUGCAGGAAGGACUCCAAGGUUGACUGCCUCUCCAGGUAAUUCCAAAUGUUCCUUCUCCUUCUUGCCAGUCACUACCCGAAACUUAUUCUGGGAACCAUUUGCCAGUAAGCCAGUGUCCUGGCCUUCACUAGGCCGUGGGCUCCUGGAGUGCACGUACAAUGUCUUGUUCAACUUUUAUUCAUCCUCUGCCCGCCCUCCGCACUGUGCAUGUUAAAGGUGACUAGUAGAUGUUUGCUAAGCAAGUGAGACGUGAGAAGCUGGGACACCUGAAACUACAACUGAUAAACUGACCUAGAGAGAUAGAAUUCAACUUCUGCUCCCUGCCCCAUUUGAGGGCCAAAGUUGCUAACUUUUCAGUUCACAUGUACUCAUUUGCAGCUGCUUUCUCAUCUCUUACUUGAAUCCUCUGCUAUUUCAAAAGUUGCUGUUCUGGGACUCACCAACUUUCAUUCCAAGUCUUUAUAUGCAGUGUGAGAAGAAUGUCUAGAGUCAGUUUCCCUGAAGAGUGGAAAGUACGUGCCUAAUUCAGAGGAGAGAUGGUAGAUGGAAGACACCGAUUCAGUGUCUAUCUCUGCAACCAGGAACUGUGCUCUGGGGAGAGUUUGCUCCUACCAGCACAUCACAGGAUUAGAACAUAGUGUACGAUCUAGAGGCCACAAUAAGAUGUCUUCUAAGACUUUGGAAAUGGAGUUCGCUAUAAGAGCUAUAUUACUAAAAUCCAUACACAAUGGAUUAGCCACCUGUGGAAGGAAACCUGGAAAUCAUCCCAAAUCCUUGAAUCAAAAACUUGGGAAUUCCAAAGAUACCAAACUAGGAGAAAAUCCAGGGAAGCAGGUGGUAGAACAAUACUCAGAACACAACUAAAUGAAUACAUAUUGAUAAAGAAUCCCUCUGAAGAGAAUGCAUCUCUCUGGGAAGCAGAGUCGGAAAGGGAAAAUGAUUAGUUAUAAGAAUCAAGAAAAAGGAGGUUUGCAGAAGCAUUGUCCUGAACAGAGGUUUUCCUGGCCCUGAUCCUGUGAGAGAGCUUAAAGUUUCCUUAAGGAAAGAUUUUUCUGAAACGCAACUUGCAUCCUCCAUUCUGAAGGAAUGCACUGAUCAGGCCCGAGGGAUGACCUAUACCCUUAUCAGUUAUCAAAGUUAAUUAACAAACUUUCAUCAUGCACGCAUGUAUGUGCAAGUAUGUGUGUGAUAUCUGGAUGCACACAGGCUUGGGGUUUCAGCUCUUGGGGGUGGGGAGUGCUAUUCUAAUAAGGUCAGGAGAGUCAGCUAUCAGAACUUAAAAGGACAGUGAUGAGUCUCUGAGGUCAAGGCCAUCAGUGGACCUUCAGUGCAUCCCUGUGUGUCACAGGCUGAGCUGCCCAUUUUCAGGUGCAACAGAAGAUACUCUUCAAAGAUAGUCACCAUCUCUUUGCUUCCUGGCAAAACCAUACAUUUAUCCAGUACUCUCAAAUUUUCUUGACUAAUGCAAAAAAAAAAAAA
ensembl:lncRNA